CCUACGGGAGGCAGCAGUGGGGAAUAUUGGGCAAUGGACGCAAGUCUGACCCAGCAACGCCGCGUGAAGGAAGAAGGCUUUCGGGUUGUAAACUUCUUUUAAGGGGGAAGAGCAGAAGACGGUACCCCUUGAAUAAGCCACGGCUAACUACGUGCCAGCAGCCGCGGUAAUACGUAGGUGGCAAGCGUUGUCCGGAUUUACUGGGUGGAAAGGGCGUGCAGCCGGAGAGACAAGUCAGAUGUGAAAUCCACGGGCUCAACUCGUGAACUGCAUUUGAAACUGUGUCCCUUGAGUGUCGGAGAGGUAAUCGGAAUUCCUUGUGUAGCGGUGAAAUGCGUAGAUAUAAGGAAGAACACCAGUGGCGAAGGCGGAUUACUGGACGAUAACUGACGGUGAGGCGCGAAAGCGUGGGGAGCAAACAGGAUUAGAUACCCUUGUAGUC
rnacentral:rRNA from 1 species